UAAUACAUGCAAGUUGAGCGCUGAAGGUUGGUACUUGUACCGACUGGAUGAGCAGCGAACGGGUGAGUAACGCGUGGGGAAUCUGCCUUUGAGCGGGGGACAACAUUUGGAAACGAAUGCUAAUACCGCAUAACAACUUUAAACACAAGUUUUAAGUUUGAAAGAUGCAAUUGCAUCACUCAAAGAUGAUCCCGCGUUGUAUUAGCUAGUUGGUGAGGUAAAGGCUCACCAAGGCGAUGAUACAUAGCCGACCUGAGAGGGUGAUCGGCCACAUUGGGACUGAGACACGGCCCAAACUCCUACGGGAGGCAGCAGUAGGGAAUCUUCGGCAAUGGACGAAAGUCUGACCGAGCAACGCCGCGUGAGUGAAGAAGGUUUUCGGAUCGUAAAACUCUGUUGGUAGAGAAGAACGUUGGUGAGAGUGGAAAGCUCAUCAAGUGACGGUAACUACCCAGAAAGGGACGGCUAACUACGUGCCAGCAGCCGCGGUAAUACGUAGGUCCCGAGCGUUGUCCGGAUUUAUUGGGCGUAAAGCGAGCGCAGGUGGUUUAUUAAGUCUGGUGUAAAAGGCAGUGGCUCAACCAUUGUAUGCAUUGGAAACUGGUAGACUUGAGUGCAGGAGAGGAGAGUGGAAUUCCAUGUGUAGCGGUGAAAUGCGUAGAUAUAUGGAGGAACACCGGUGGCGAAAGCGGCUCUCUGGCCUGUAACUGACACUGAGGCUCGAAAGCGUGGGGAGCAAACAGGAUUAGAUACCCUGGUAGUCCACGCCGUAAACGAUGAGUGCUAGAUGUAGGGAGCUAUAAGUUCUCUGUAUCGCAG
rnacentral:rRNA from 1 species